AACGAACGCUGGCGGCAUGCCUAACACAUGCAAGUCGAACGAGACCUUCGGGUCUAGUGGCGCACGGGUACGUAACGCGUGGGAACCUGCCCUUAGGUUCGGAAUAACUCCCCGAAAGGGGUGCUAAUACCGGAUAAUGUCUUCGGACCAAAGAUUUAUCGCCUUUGGAUGGGCCCGCGUCGGAUUAGCUAGUUGGUAGGGUAAAAGCCUACCAAGGCGACGAUCCAUAGCUGGUCUGAGAGGAUGAUCAGCCACACUGGGACUGAGACACGGCCCAGACUCCUACGGGAGGCAGCAGUGGGGAAUAUUGGACAAUGGGCGAAAGCCUGAUCCAGCAAUGCCGCGUGAGUGAUGAAGGCCUUAGGGUUGUAAAGCUCUUUUACCCGGGAUGAUAAUGACAGUACCGGGAGAAUAAGCUCCGGCUAACUCCGUG
rnacentral:rRNA from 1 species